rnacentral:lncRNA from 1 species
AUGUGCCACACGUACACUUGACUCGCCGAUACAAAGCCAACACCAGCCCCAACACGUGAUACGCGGACAUGUGUUGUUGCCGAUGCCAACAUUGCAAAGCCAAGACAAGCCCCAAAAAGCACGAAUAGGGGGGUUGAACAAUGCCAGACACAACCCACAACAAUCGAUGGCAAUCGGCAACUUACUGCGCAACCAUGUGUUGUUGCCGAUACCAACAUUGCAAAGCCAAGACAAGCCCCACAAAGCACGAAUAGCAGGUUUAUACAAUGCCAGACACAACCCGCAACAACCGAUGGAAAUAGGCAAUUCAAUGAGCUUCGCCCCGUGAGAACGGCACCUUGUGGCGCUACUUGCACGAUGCUUUGCCAUUUGUUGCCAAGAGCCGUCAGCCGCCACGAGCAAUGUCGCCUCCCGAUGUUGCCCACAACAAUCAGUGGCAAUCGGCAACUUACUAAACUUUGCCACGAGCGCACAGCACCAUACGGCGCUAUUUGCACGAUGCUUUGCCAUUUGUUGCCAAAAACCAUCAGCCACCACGAGCGAUGUAGCCUCCCGAUGUUUCCCGCAACAACCGAUGGCAAUCAACAACUUACUAAGCUUCGCCCCGUGCUCAUGGCACCUUGCAGCGCUACUUGCACGAUGAUUUACCAUUUUGUUGCCAAAAGCCAUCAGCCGCCAUGAGCGAUGUUGCCUCUCGAUGUUUCCCGCAACAACUGAUGGCAAUGAACAUUUACUGAGCUUCACCCCGUGCGCAUAGCACCUUGAGGCGCUACUUGCACGAUGCUCCGCCGUUUGUUGUCAAAAGCCAUAUGCAGCCACGGAGGGGGGUAUAUGGCACAACCCACAAAAAGCGAUGGCAAUAGGCAACUUACUAAUCUUUAACCCAUGCGCACGGCACCGUACGACGCUACUUGCACGAUGCUCCGCCGUUCCAUUGCCGAAAUCAAUCAAUCGCCAUAUGCGAUGUUGCCCGCAAAAACCUAUGGCAAUCGACAUCUACUAAGUUUCACCCUAUGCGCACGACACCUUGCUGCCCUACUUGCACGACGCUCCACCGUUCAUUGUCGAAAGCCAUCAGCCACCACGAGAGAUUGCAGACACAACCCACAAUAACCAAUGGCAAUCAACAACUUACUAAGCUUCGCCAUAUGCGCACAGCACCUUGCAGCUCUACUUGCACGACGCUUUGUCGUUUUGUUGUAAAAAGCCAUCAACCGCCACGAGCGAUGUCGCCUCCCAAUUUUGCCCGCAACAUCCAAUGGCGAUCAACAAGUACUGAGCUUCGUCCCAUGUGCACGGCACCUUGCGGCGCUACUUGCAUGACGCUUCACCAUUUGUUGCCAAAAGCCAAUGUUUGCCACGAGCGGUGUCACCACAAGGCGUACUAAAAGCCCACACGAGUACUUGCCGGCGCAGUUUCGGAACAUCGUGGACGUAGCACGGACAUACCGUGCAUGCCCCCAAUGCCCACGCCCCAUGGCAGUGUCCCCAUGCAUGCCCGCCCCUUCCUAGCAGCAAGGACCUGAAAUGCCUCUCAACACCUCUACCCCCCAUAUAUAUGCUUAAGAAAAACACCCAAGUUUCAGGAGUAGACAUGUUUUGGCCAGAGAAUCAUAACAGACAUGUACAACACCAAAUAGCACAAACCAAAGUACAACAUGGCUAAUAUAUUAAAAAUUGACUUUUAUACAUUGUAAAUGAUAUUUUUUACAAAAAAAAAUAAUUUUUUGAAAUUAUUUUAGUUAUAAACGAUAAAUACUUAAUAAAACAUUAAAAAUAUAAAAAUUAUUAUAAAAUAGAAAAAAAGAUGGAGAAAAAUAUCAAUACAUCUUUUAAUAGUAUUACAUAUAAAAGUGUAAAUAUUUUUAUUGAAAAGUGAAAUAAAAAUAAUUGAAAACAACAAAAAAUGCAUAAAAAUUACUAAAAAUAUAUUAAAAAAAGGUAAAAUACGUAAUAUUAUCAUAAAUGUGUAUAGAAGACCAACCGCCAAUAAGAAUGAGGCACCUCGAUUGUCGCAACCAAAACAAGUGAUUAGGAUUUGAAGCAACAGCCGCCAACCACCAAGCAUCGACCGACCGUCGCCGGACGCUACCGCUCGAACCACCCUGACUUUCCACCGCCGCCGCCAACAAUCACCAACAUCAUUGCGCUUGACAUAUUUCUAAGCAUUGGCUAGCAAUAAACGUGGUGCGACGUGGUGCGGCUUGGAGCUACAUGGUGCGGCUUGGUGCGACGUCGUGCCAUGGCCAUAUCCUAACACGUCCUGACAUGUACCAUGGCCAUAUCCUGCGACGUCCAGACCCGUGCCAUGGCCACGCACUGCCAUGUCCUGACACGUGCCAUGGCCAUGUCUUGACGCGUCCUGCGACGUCUUGACUCGUGCCAUGGCCACGCCCUGCCAUAUCCUGUGACGUCCCGACUCGUACCAUGGCCACGCCUUGCCAUGUCCUGACGCAUUCUGACACGUGCCAUGGCCUUGUCCUGACGCGUGCUGACACGUACCAUGGCCAUGUCCUGACGCGUCCUGUGACGUUCUGACUCGUGACAUGACCACGUCCUGCCAUGUCUUGUGACGUCCCGACUCGUGCCUUGGCCACGCCCUGCCAUGUCCUGACGCAUCCUGACACGUGCAAUGGCCAUGUCAUGACGCGUCCUGACACGUACCAUAGCCAUGUCCUGACGCGUCCUACGACGUCCUGACUCGUGCCAUGGCCACGCCCUACCAUGUCAUGUGACGUCCCGACUCGUGCCAUGGCCAAGCCGUGCCAUGUCCUGUGACGUCCCGACUCGUGCCAUAGCCACGCCCUGCCAUGUCCUGACGUAUCAUCACACGUGCCAUGGCCAUGUCCUGGCGCGUCCUUACACGUACCAUGGCCAUGUCCUGACGCUUCCUGCGACGUCCCGACUCGUGCCAUGGCCACGCCCUGCCAUGUCCUAUGACGUCAUGACUCAUGCCAUGGCAACGCCCUGCCAUGUCUUGACGCAUCCUGACACGUGGCACGUGUCCUGACACGUGCCAUGGCCAUGUCCUGAUGCGUCAUGUGAGGUCCUCACUCGUGAAAUGGACACGCCCUACCAUGUCCUGCGAUAUCCUGACUCGUGCCGUGGCCUUGCCCUGCCAGGUCUUGCGAUGUCUUGACUCGUGCCAUGGCCACGCCCUGCCAUGUCUUGACAAGUCCUAACACGUGCCAUGGCCAUGUCUUGAUGCGUCAUGACACGUCCUGAAUCGUGCCAUGGCCACGACUUUCCAUGUCCUGCGACGUCCCGACUCGUGCCAUGGCCACGCCCUUCCAUGUCCUGCGAUGUCUUGACUCGCGCCAUGGCCAUGCCCUGCCAUGUCAUGCAAUGUCCUGACUCGUGCCAUGGCCGAGCCCUGCCAUGUCUUGACACGUGCCAUGGCCAUGUCUUGACGUGUCCUGACACGUCUUGACUCGUGCCAUGGCCACGCCCUACCAUGUCCUGCGACGUCCUGAAUCAUGCCAUGGCCACACCCUGCCACGUCCUGACGCAUCCUGACACGUGCCAUGGCCAUGUCCUGAUGCUUCCUGACAUGCACCAUGGCUAUGUCCUGACGCGUUCAAGGACGUCCUCACUCGUGCCAUGGCCACGCCUGCCGUGUCCUGACUAGUGCCACUUCCAUGUCCUGAUGCGUCCUGACACGUGCCAUGGCCAUGUCUUGACGUGUCCUACGACAUCCUGACUAAUGCCUUGGCCACGCCCUGCCAUGUCCUGUCAUGUCCUGACUCGUGCCAUGGCCAUGCCCUGCCAUGUCUUGUGAUGUCCUGACUCGUGUCAUGGCCAUGCCCUGACGCGUCCUGACACGUGCCAUGGCCAUGUCUUGACACGUCCAAACACGUCUUGACUCGUGCCAUGGCCACGCCCUGCCAUGUCCUGCGACAUCCUGACACAUUUCACCCGUGUCUUGUCAUGUCGUGCGACGUACUGACACGUCCUGGACCGCGCCGUGGCCACGCCCUGCCAUGUCCUGGGACGUCCUAACUCAUGCCAUGGCCACGUCUUGCGCUCGUGGCAUAGGUCUUGGCCUCUCAAGAGACACCCCAAAAAACGUUUGCAUAGGCCUCGACCUCUCAAGCGACACCACGACAAGCCUCUAGUAGUGUAAUUUGGUUUGGUAUUUCCCUCGACGUGACUAAGUGUCAAGUCUCAUUGUCCACUUAAUGCACAAUAGUAUACGUUCCAAGGACUUGAGGACAUGUUCGAUUUUUUCACUCUGCCACAUAGAAUACCCCGUCGCAUAUUUAAGUCGUCUGCAAAGGAUUCUACCUGCUGCAUGAUGGAAAUUGUACUCAAGGCGGCCACCGCGCCUCUUCCGCCACGAUGAAUUAGCCAACGACAAGUGACCUUGGGGGCCAAAGGCCCCUAAUGUGGGUCGCCAAGUGGACGGCGCGCGCAUGUGUCGCUUCUAGCCUGGAUUCUGACUUAGAGGCGUUAAGUCAUAAUCCAACGCACGGUAGCUCCGCGCCACUAGAUUUUCAACCAAGCGCGAUAGCCAAUUGUGCGAAUCAAUGGUUCCUCUCGUAGUAGGUUGAAUUUCUAUUGCAAAACUGUCAUCAGUAGGGUAAAACUAACCAGUCUCACGACGGUCUAUACCCAUCUCACAUUCCCUAUUGGUUGGUGAACAAUCCAACACUUGGUGAAUUGUGCUUCACAAUGAUAGGAAGAGCCAACAUCGAAGGAUCAAAAAGCAACGUCGCUAUGAACGCUUGGCUGCCACAAGCCAGUUAUCCCUGUGGUAACUUUUCUGACACCUCUAGCUUCGANNNNNNNNNNNNNNNNNNNNNNNNNNNNNNNNNNNNAUUGUGCUUCACAAUGAUAGGAAGAGCCAACAUCGAAGGAUCAAAAAGCAACGUCGCUAUGAACGCUUGGCUGCCACAAGCCAGUUAUCCCUGUGGUAAAUUUUCUGAUACCUCUAGCUUUGAAUUCCGAAGGUCUAAAGGAUUGUUAGGCCACUCUUUCACGGUUCGUAUUCGCACUGGAAAUCAAAAUCAUACGAGCUUUUACCUUUCUGUUCCACACGAGAUUUUUGUUCUCCUUGAGCUCAUCUUAGGACACCCGCGUUAUCUUUUAACAGAUGUGCCACCCCAGCUAACCUCCCCCCCUCACAAUGUCUUCCGCUAGGAUCAGCCUACAAGCAAGCCUUGAGUCCAAAAAGAGGGGCUGUGCCCCUCUUCCGAUUCACAGAAUAAGUAAAAUAACGUUAAAAGUAGUGGUAUUUCACUUUCGCCAUUCGGCUCCCACUUAUACUACAUCUCUCAAGUAAUUUCACAAAGUUGGACUAGAGUCAAGCUCAAUGCGGUCUUCUUUCCCCGCAGAUUCUACCAAGCCCGUUCCCUUGGCUGUGGUUUCGCUGGAUAGUAGCCAGGGACAGUGGGAAUCUCUUUUCCUGCGGGUCACUAAUUUGAUGACAAGGCAUUUGGCUACCAUUAGAGAGUCAUAGUUACUCCCGCCGUUUACCCGCGCUUGGUUGAAUUUAUUCACUUGACAUUCAGAGCACUGGGCAGAAAUCACAUUGCGUAAACAUCCGCAGGGACCAUCACAAUGCUUUCUUUUAAUUAAACAGUCAGAAUCCUUGUCCGUACCAGUUCUGAGUUGGUUGUUCGACGCCUAAGGAAGUCCCCCGAAGGAACCGCUCCCAGUCCGUCCCCCGGCUGGCACACGGCGACCCGCUCUUGCCACGGGAGAAGCUCGAGCAGUCCACCAACAGCCGACGGGUUCAGGACUGGGACCUUAGUGCCAAUCACUUAGAGCCAAUCCUUUUCCCGAAGUUAGGGAUAUAUUUUGCCGACUUCCCUUGCGUACAUUGUUGCAUCGACCAGAGGGUGUUCACCUUGGAGACCUAAUGUGGUGAUGAGUACGAUCGGGCGUGGACGGCACUAGGUCGUCCGGAUUUUCGAGGGGCUCAAGGGGCGCACCGUACACCACGUGGCGUGCGGUGCUCUUCCAGCCGCUGGACCCUACCUCUAACUAAGUCAUUACCAGGGUGGGCAAGUUCUUAAAUAGAGAAGAUAACUCUUCCCGAAGCCCCCGCCGACGUCUCUGGACUUCCUAACAUUGCCGUAAACCGCCACGUCCCGGUUCAGGAAAUUUAAGCCAAUUCCCUUUCGGAGUACGCGCGAAAUGCGCUAUCUGUCGGGGUUCCCCCGACACUUAGGAUCGACUAACCCAUGUGCAAGUGCCGUUCACAUGGAACCUUUCCCCUCUUCGGCCUUCAAAGUUCUCAUUUGAAUAUUUAGUACUACCACCAAGAUCUGCACCGACGGCCGCUCUGCCCAGGCUCAUGCCCUAGGUUUUGCAGCGACCGCUGCGCCCUCCUACUCAUCGGGUCCUGGCUCAUUCCCCGACGGCCAGUUUGUAGGUCGCGCGCUUAAGCGCCAUCCAUUUUCGGGGCUAGUUGAUUCGGCAUGUGAGUUGUUAAACACUCCUUAGUGGAUCUCGACUUCCAUGACAACCAUCCUACUUUCUUAAACGACCAACACCCCUUGUGGAUCUAGGUUACGCGCAGUUUGGCACCGUAACCUGGCUUCCGGCUAAUCCCGCAUCACUAGUUCUACUUACCAAAAAUGGUCAACUUGGAGAUCUUGAUUCCGUGGCGCGGCUAAACAAAGUAGCCGCACCGUCCUACCUAUUUAAAGUUUGAGAAUAGGUCGAGGGCGUUGCGCCGCCGAUGCCUCUAAUCAUUGGCUUUACCCGAUUGAACUUGCACGCGAGCUCCAGCUAUCCUGAGGGAAUCUUCGGAGGGAACCAACUACUAGAUGGUUCGACUUUCACCCCUAUUCCCAUGUCAGGAUUGGGUAAUUUGCACGCCUGCUGCCUUCCUUGUUUGUGGUAGCCGUUUCUUAGGCUCCCUCUCCGAAAUCAAACCCUAAUUCUCUGUCUCCCGUCACCACCAUGGUAGGUGUCACGGGGUCAGUAUUAGCUCCUUUAAAAAAACCCGUGCGUCAGCCAAGCACCGACUUGACUUCAGCCUUCUCCAACACUCGACCAAAUGUUCAGCAACUUUGGACAUCAAUAUAUUUAGGCAGCUUUCAACGUAGUAAGCUAAGAUUGAACUUAGGAACCAAAUGUAUAGUGAAGGGACAGAAAUAUAACAUGAAUACAAGACACAAGAUUACAUGAAAAUCUUUUUCCAACUUUGUAUAUAACUCGAGAAUACAAAGAAACUCAACUCCGUAGUACACUCCGUGUACAAAAAUGAAGAUCACUCUUGACCCUCACGAGACUACUCGUUGACUUAGUGUUUUCACUCUUGAAAACAAGACUUAGUACUCUUCCUAAAUCAGAAAACAUGCACUCUUACACGUUUCCACUCUUUAAGUGUGCUCUCACACUCUUUUGGGCUUUUUUUCAGCUUAAGUUUUGGCCUUAGUGUUUUCACUAUUGAAAACAAGACUUAGGACUCUUCCUAAAUCAGAAAACAAGCACUCUAUACGUUUUCACGCUUUAAAGUGUGCUCUCACACUUUGAAGCUUUUAAGCUUAAGUCACAAAUGAGAAGGGUGCUGCCCAUUUAUAGAUUAUGAAAGCAGCCCCAUGUUUACAAUAGUUGCCUAGUUUUUAGGCUUGCACUUGCCCACUACUUUAUCCUAAGUGUAGUUGACCUUUUAAGCUUAAGUCACAAAUGAGAAGGGUGCUGCCCAUUUAUAGAUUAUGAAAGCAGCCCCAUGUUUACAAUAGUUGCCUAGUUUUUAGGAUUGUCACUUGCCCACUACUUUUUCCUAAGGUAGUUUACACCCACAACUACUAGGAACAUGUUUAGAUCAUGGGAUCAUGGCCCUCAAUUCGUGCUAACUCCUACCAGCAUGAUAAGAAAAUCUCAACCGCUGCCCAUGUGCACAGCCUGUGCCGGUAACGCCGUUUGACUUGGUCCAUUCUCAUUUUGCUGCCCAAUUUCGUGUGUUGUCUUGGACCAGGCGCCAAUGCCCUUUUAUCCAGAUGUGUUGUGCCCCAAUUAGUCUUAACAUUGCCCAUGAACUUGGCCCGUUUGCCACAACUCGAACCCACGCCAAAUCUGCCCGCAGUUUGCCUUUCCGUUUGCACAUUUGCUUGACUUUGCCCAUCCGUUUGUGCCAUGUCUUGGAAUCAAUGCCUCCUGCCUUGAUCCUAUUAUCAUGAUCUAGUGCCAUCCAUAGCCCGCAACUCAUUUUCAAGCCCUCACUAAGCUGCCUCGGAUUCGUUCAAAGCCUUAGCCCUCACUUGCCCGUUUCCCAUUUAGACUUCUGGCGCCACUCUUGCACCAAUUUUGCAACACUCUUGCUACCUCAUGACAACACUCUUGUUGUCUUGCCGAGUUCAAAUGUUGGGGUCAUAACAAACCACCCUCACUCUUUGAAACUCGACGUCCUCGUCGAGGUUAACUCAAUUUAUGAACCCCAAGGGACAAGCAACGCCCCUUGCCUACCUCUCUCUAUUUUCGUGUCUUCACAUCUCCGUUCACUCGCCUACAUGCAAUUUAUGUCUCAAGAAAUGCAAUUCUACUCACAAGAGGCUUAAGUUCUUCCCCUUCCGAAACAUUUCCCCCAAAUGCUUCCAAUUUUGUUAGCCUUUCCCGUAGUUCAUUGUUACCACCGGUCAUGUUCUCGAAAAAGACCACGAAAUCUGCCACUGCACGUUGUGUCUCCACCUCGAACACGAUCUCCUCUCGAUCAGCUCUGAUACCAGUUGUUACCGGGUCAAUUAUAGCUCCUCUAAAACAACCCGUGCGGCAGCCAAGCACCAACUUGACUUCAGCCUUCUCCAACACUCGGCCAAAAUUUCAGCAACUUAGGACUUCAAUAUAUUUAGGCAACUUUCAACGUAGUAUACUUAGAUUGAACUUAGGCAACAAAAGUAUAGUGAAGGGACAGAAAUAGAACAUGAACACAAGACACAAGAUUACAGGAAACUCUUUUCCCAACUUUGUAUUUAACUCGAGCAUACAAAGAAACUCAACUAAAUAGAACAUGAACACAAGACACAAGAUUACAGGAAACUCUUUUCCCAACUUUGUAUUUAACUCGAGCAUACAAAGAUACUCAACUCCGUAGUACACUACGUGUACCAAAAUGAAGAUCAAUCUGGGCCCUUAGAAGACUACUCUUAGCCUUAGUGUUUUCACUCUUGAAAACAAGACUUAGGACUCUUCCUAAAUGAGAAAACAUGCACUCUACACGUUUUCACGCUUUAAAGUGUGCUCUCUCACUUUGAAGCUUUUCAGCUUAAGUCACAAAAGAGAAUGGUGCUGCCCAUUUAUUGAUUAUGAAAGCAGCCCCAUGUUUACAAUAGUUGCCAAGUUUUUAGGCUUGGCACUUUCGCACUACUUUUUCCUAAGGUAGUUGACUCCAACAACUACUAGGAACAUGUUUAGCCCUCAUUACGUGCUAACUCUUGCCAACAUGAUAUGCAUAUCUCAACCGCUGCCCAUGUGCCGGUAACCACCGUUUUACUUGAUCCAUUCUCAUGUUGCUGCCCAAUUUUGUGUGUUGUCUGUGAAUAGGCACCAAUUACAUUGUAUCCAGCUGCCUUGUGCCCCAAUUAGCCUUAACAUUGCCCACAAAGUUGGCCCGUUUCCCGAAACUCGAACCUACGCCAAAUCUGCCCGCACUUUGCCGUUCGAUUUGCACAUUUGCUUGUCUUUGCCCAUCGGUUUGUGCCAUGUCUUGGCAUCGAUGCCUCCUGCCUUGAUGCUAUAACCACGAAGUGCCAUCCGUAGUUCGCAAGUCCUUGGCAAGCCCUCGCUAAGCUUCCUCGGAUCCGUUCAAAGCCUUAGCCCUCACUUGCCCGUUUCCCUUUUAGACUUCUGGCGCCACUCUUGCACUAGUUUUGCAACUCUCUUGCUGCCUCAUGACAACACUCUUGUUGUCUUGCCGAGUUCAAAUGUUGGGGUCGUAACAGUUGGCCACUAUCCUACCAUCGAAAUUUGAUAGGGCAGAAACUUGAAUGAUGCGUCGCCGACACGAUGGCCGUGCGAUUCGUCAAGUUAUCAUGAAUCAUCGCAGCAACGGGCAAAGCCCGCGUCAACCUUUUAUCUAUUAAAUGCAUCCCUUCCAGAAGUCGGGGUUUGUUGCACGUAUUAGCUCCAGAAUUACAAUGGUUAUCCGAGUAGUAGAUACAAUCAUAUAAAGUAUAACUGAUUUAAUGAGCCAUUAGCAGUUUCACAGUCUGAAUUUGUUCAUACUUACACAUGCAUGGCUUAAUCUUUUAGACAAGCAUAUGACUACUGGCAGGAUCAACCAGGUAGCAUUCCUCAUUGACGCCGGCGUCGCAUGAGCGUAGCCGACCCAAAAGGGCACGGCCAAGAUGAGCCAUUAGCAGUUUCACAGUCUGAAUUUGUUCAUACUUACACAUGCAUGGCUUAAUCUUUGAGACAAGCAUAUGACUACUGGCAGGAUUAACCAGGUUGCAUUCCUCAUUGACGCCGGUGUCGCAUGAGCAUGGACGACCCAAAAGGGAACGGCCAAGUCCAAAGCUAGCACGACUAUCAUUCGUAAGGAGCAUUCUUUGGGCAGAUAGGAGCCAAUGAAGGCCUCGUGCCCAUUACGUUUACCAAAUCCGAGAGCCCAUUCAUGCUACGAUGUGGACCAAACCAUCGCAAGGCAAAGCCAGGACGACCUGGGACACAAAUCCAGUUUUUGGUUAUCUCUGCACGUCAAACGCGAGGGGCGAAAGGCGACCAAUUGUGCUUGAUAAUGCCUUGGCAUGAGGUAUGCAACACAGAAAACCGACGUCGAACAAGCCUAAUUUGCGCUUUUGACAUGACUGAGAUGGUAUGCGAGCUAGGACAUCGCUGCUCGAGCAGGGAUUCAACCUAGCCACACAAGCGAACACCACUCAUGUGCCGCACGUACACUUGCCUCACCGAUACAAAGCCAACACCAGCUCCAACACGUGACGCACAGCCAUGUGUUAUUGCCGAUGCCAACAUUGCAAAGCCAAGACAAGCCCUGCAAAGCACGAAUAGGGGGUUUGAACAAUGACAGACACAACCCACAACAACCGAUGGCAAUAGGCAAUUUACUGAUCUUCGCCCAUGCGCAUGGCACCUUGCGGCGCUACUUGCACGAUGUUUUGCCGUUCCAUUGUGAAAAGCCAUCAGCCGCCACGAGCGAUGUCGCCUUCCGAUGAUUCCCGCAACAACCGAUGGUAAUCAAUAACUUACUAAGCUUCACCUCGUGAGCACGACACUUUGCGGCGCUACUUGCACGAUUUUUUCCCAUUUGUUGCCAAAGGCCAUCAGCCGGCACCAGCGAUAUCGCCUCCCGAUGUUGCCUGCAACAACCAAUGGCAAUCAGCAACUUACUAAGCUUUGCUCCGUGCGCACAGCAUCUUGCGGCGCUACAUGAAGGGUGCUUUGCAAUUUUGUUGCCAAAAAGAAUCAGGUUCCACGAACAAUGUCGCCUCCCGAUGUUUCCCGCAAAAACGAUGGCAAUCAGCAACAUACUAAGCUUUACCAUAUUUUUGCAAAAAGCCAUCAGCCGCCAUGAGCGAUGUCGCCUCUCGAUGUUUCCCGCAACAACCGAUGGAAAUAAACAUCUAUUGAGCUUCGCCUCGUCCGCACGAAACCUUGCUGCGCUACUUGCACGAUGCUCCGACGUUCGUUGUCAAAAGCCAUAAGCCGCCACAGAGGGGGGUUUACAGAAACAACCCACAAAUAUCGAUGGAAAUAGGCAACUUACUAAGUUUUGCCCCAUGUGCACAGCACCUUGCGGUGCUACUUGCACGACGCUCCGCCGUUCCAUUGCUGAAAGCCAUCAACCACCAUAAGCGAUGUUGCCCGCAACAACCGAUUGAGCUUCGCACCAUGCGCAUGGCACCUUGCGGCGUUACUUGCACGAUGCUCAAUCAUUCGUGGUCGAAAGCUAUUAGCCGCCACAAUAGAUUCCAGACACAACCCAAAACAACCAGUGGCAAUCAACAACUUACUAAGCUUCGCCCCACGCGCAUAGCACCUUGCGGCGUUACUUGCACGACGCUUUGCCGUUCUGUUGUCAAAAUCCAUCAGCCGCCAUGAGCGAUGUCGCCUCCCGAUUCUGCCCGCAACAUCUAAUGGCGAUCAACAAGUACUGAGCUUCACCCCUUGCGCACGGAACCUUGCGGCGCUACUUGCAUGACGCUCCACUGUUCGUUGCCAAAAGCCAAUGUUUGCCACGAGCAGAGCCACCACCAGUCGUACUAAAAUCCCACACGAGUACUUGCCGGCGUGGUUAGGGAACAUCGAGGUCGUAGCACGGACAAGCCGUGCAUGCCCCCAAUGCCCGCGACCAAUGCCAGCGUCCCCCAUGCAAGCCCGGCCUUUCCUAGCAGCAAGCACCUGAGGUUCCUCUCAACACCUCUACCCCCCUUAUAUAUGCUUAAAAAAACCCAAGUUUCAGAAGUAGACAUAUUUUGCCCAUAGAAUCAUAAUAGACAUGUACAACACCAAAUAGCACAAACCAAAGUACAACAUGGCUAAUAUAUUCAACUGACUUUUAAACAUUGUAAAUGAUAUUUUUUACAAAAAAAAUG